rnacentral:lncRNA from 1 species
GAGCCAGGUUCGAAGUGGAUGCCGUGGCUGAACAUCACGGCUCACUCAGCCGCCCAACAGAGACCAUCUGGAUCUGGUUCUGUUCGUCCACCUGAGACUGCCAUUCACAAGAUGGAUCUUGCAGACUUCAGCACAUCUACAGCAUCGGGAACACCAAACGAUGAUGGCCAGAAGGUCGAUAUGUGCCCUCUGAGGAAACACCUUCAAGCAGAACCUCACUUUCUGAUCUUCCUGAAGUCUCAGAAUCCAGAUUACGCACCAUCCCUAUGCGGAAUCAGGACAACCUCCCUCUGAGAAUUCAGAGCCUGCAGGAUGCUUAGUAGGACAUGCCUGGAAUUACACAGAUUAUGCCUCCUUGCAUGGGAGAAGUAGAAAAGUCACAGCAUGGGUUAAAAAUACGCUUGUCUUCUCUCAAUAAUUAAUUGUUUAGGGAUUAACAUGAGGUUUUGUGUUUUGAAAGUAAACUAAUCCACUCGUUGGCUGGUGUGUAAUGAAGGAGAACAGGCUACUGUCAAGCAGGCUGAAAACAGUGAAAAUUAACUACAAGUGCCACGACUCACAUAUUUUAUGUAUAUGAGUAAUGUAUUCUCUGUGGGACAGAAGAUGAAAAUAUCACACAGAAAAGAAAAACACAGUGGCUACAAAUUUAAUAAAACAAGCAGUCAUACUUAGCCUCGCAGUAUAGUCUGGCAUUUUUACUGCCCGAUGGUAUCAAGGUUGGGCCAGUGCAAGAGAAUUCAUGCUCGUGAACUCACAAGAAGCACAAACUUCACUUUCUGCAGCCUCUCUGCUUGCAGAGCUAGCAAAAGGGAAGGAAAAU